CGCAGAUCGGUGUCAUCUGCUCCUAGCCCGGCACAUCCUGCUGCCGCAUGAAAAGCCAGCCAAACCAUCCAGUUCCCUCCCUUCCCCUCACAGGACCAGCUUAUGUCUGUUGCUGCACACAGAUGAUUUUUCAGCUUGGUAGGGUGCUGCGAUCGAUUUGUGUCUGCUACCCAGACAUCCCCGUUAUUAACAACGCUAAAGACAAGUGGGGAGGGUUGAAUGAUCUCUCCGCAUUGUAAUUAUCUGCAUUCUUCCUCUCUUGUUGCUUCAUCCCGUGUUCCCCGGAAAAUCUUAAACGCCGAUUAACAGUGGAGCCGACAUGCAUACCUAAAGGAUGAUUCACUGGAUUACCUGGGACAAAGACACCGAUGUCCUGCAGUGACAAGGGAAGCAAGCGCCUUUCAGGGAAAGUGGCGUGGACAGGCUCUGUGGAUGACCUACAACCCACAAGAGAUGCCAGCAACUACAGAUUCCUAAGAAAUUUCUGUCCUGCACAGAAAUGCCAUUGUUCCACAGGGAAAAGCCACACCAUAAGUGAAAAGGUCUUUGAUAAUACAAAGCUGUAGCCCGUAGCUGCAUGCUGAAUUCAUGUGUGUGAUUCGUCUUAAUUGCAUGUUUAUUGAUAUGGUUUUAUUAACUAUC